ACAGAAUACAAAAUGCAAAAUGUCUAGGGCGCAGCUACAAAUCCUCCAUCUCACUUUUAAUGUUGGCAAGGGUAAGAAUUGCUGAAGACAGGAUCCCAUUCCAGAGAGGAAACACUAAAGUGACCAACAGCUGGGAUUCUCCAAAUAUAUUGCAACUGUAGGAGUGGCACUCCUUUGCUUGCAGGUCUCUGAACCUUAGAAAACAGUGUGAACAGUAAGAAGAGCAUGCACACUUUCCAAACUGAAGUUAUGAAAGAGACUGCCCCUUCUCAAGUUGUCUCCACUUCCUCUGGCUAAUGACAACAGCUGAAGACGCAGGGAAAAGGGGAGGGUCAGUGUGGAUCUACAGAGACCACUUCUCAAAUUUGCCAAGAUUAUUUUGAAUUCUAAUCCUGUCCUCCAAAGAGAUUGCAACCUCUCCCAUCUUGGAAUCACCCUCAAAAACUUUAAGUGUAUUCUCUGUGCCAUUAUCGAAAUCAUUUAUGAAGUUACGGAAUAGAACUGGACCCAGGACAGAUCCCUAUGGAACCCCACUCAAUGUGUCCUUCCAUCUUCACUGUGAACACUGAUAACUACUCUGUGUAUGGUUUUCCAACCAGAUGUGCAUCCACCAUAUAGUAGGUUCAUCUAGCAUAUACUUCCCUAGUUUGCUUAUGAGAUGAUCAUGUGAGACAGCUGU